UAUCUCUUCACUUCUGUAAUUUACCUGCAUUUUGUAUUUCUUUUUAAUGUUGUAAAACAUAGAAGGUAAUCAAUGACACCACAGCAAUGAUACACUAAAAAAUAUCUGUGGUUCAAACUGUCUUUGCAGCUCUUCCAGAGGAAACAACUGUGCCAGAUGGAGACAACUGGGGAACACCACCAUCUCCACCAUCUACAGAAGAUGACUCAUUUGGGGGCUGGCAUCCAUCUUGCCCAGAUGGAUGGAGUAUGCACAGUCAACAGUGCCUCCUCUUUGUUCCAGAAAACAUGACCUGGGACGAUGCUCAGAAUAACUGUCACUCUCAUGGAGGACAGCUUGCAUCUGUGUAUGAUGACUUUCAAGCUUAUGAGAUUCAAGCAGAGCUGAAGCGUGCUGGACAUGAUCAUGGAGAAUUUUGGGUUGGAGGCCAUAAUAGUCCAGGGGUAAAUAGCAUGAUGU